rnacentral:tRNA from 1 species
GAAGGUAUAGCUCAGUGGCAGAGUGCUUGCUUAGCAUGCAUGAAGUCCUGGGUUCAAUUCCCAGUACCUCCA